UGAAGCCAACAAUUAGCUUUUUUCAUCUAUCUUUAACUUGCCUCCUAAUCAACUUUAAUUAAAACAAUUGGCAUUAAUUUAAUGUCAUCGUCUCAAUUGAUCUACAUUAUUAAACAUUCCAAAGUGACACAUUAAGAAUUGAUUGAAUGAUUUUGUGAAUCCAAUGCUGACAAAGCUUCAAAUUGGCUGGGUGGCGUAAUUAUAAAUUUAAUUUCAUCUCAUUGCUGUUACCAGUUUUGUCGUUGUUUUUUUUAUAUUAAAUUCAUGUUCACUGUUUACAAUUAUAAUCCUGACCAUUAUGUUGUACCAGCUAUUAUAUUACAUCAACAAGACUACUAUUUUUGCAAUAACAAUCAGUUAACAUGGCAAGGAAACAAAAUCCAUCCAUAAUCAAGAAUAACAUCAACAUGAACUACCAUUACAACUACUACCACUAUUACUGCUACAGGCAAAUCAAAAAAAUAGAUACACAAUUGAAUAGUAAUGUGAAUCUUGUAUAUGUAGUUAAUAAGGUUAAAUUGUGGUGAUUACAGGACAUAAUAAUAACAGCAGCAACAAUGCUAAAUAAUAAUAGAAACGGUCCAGCGAUCGGAUUAAGAUUGUUGCUUCGGAAAACAAAACAACAAACGGUCAGCAAAAGUAGAUUCAAAAGGUGUGGACAUCUCUAAAAGGCGCUGAUGAGGAUGAUGGCGAUGAUCAAGAUGAAGAUGGGAAAGGAGGUGAAAAAAAGAUAAAUCUUACCGUGACAGUGAAGAGGGAGAGAGUCAACAACCCGCCCUGACCCUAGUGUUAUGACCCUAAAUUUACCUUCAGUUAGGGUUUCCACUAUUCUCAUUAUUAUCAUCUCAAUAUUACUCCCCUUCAUCCUCACCUCACCCAAACACACACACAUCCAAAAAUUGUCAUACCAGGUUGAUGCUCUUUCUUCCUAACUCUUCACUUCUCUCCUUUUCAUCCUUUCAACUCACUUUCACCAACACCAACAACAUGACGAUCAAGGGGAAAUCCUCAAAUUGGAUUAGUAAGUUGGAAAUGUUUUCAUUUUACCUUUUCACCUGAAAAUCAUGGAGUUACCUUAUUUAUUACCUUACCCUUUCAAACUACCCUUUUUUAGUCGCAAUGACUAGUGAAACUGUAUUUGGAUGGAUUUGCAGUUAAUCAAGGUACAACCAGGUACAAUUGAUUUUAAACAAAAAAAGACGAAACAUAAUAUUUAUUCAAUUAUUGAACGUUUCGUAACCACAUAUUAUUACGGAUA